rnacentral:misc_RNA from 1 species
AACGCAUAUUGCGCCCCUUGGUAUUCCGGGGGGCACACCUGUUCGAGCGCCAUUUAAACCCUCAAGCAUAGCUUGGUGUUGGGUGAGGUCCUAGAGGGGACCCGCCCGUAACUCGUAGGCGGUUAUCGCCCGUGCCCCCAGCGUAGCAGGCUCACGCAUUUCGCUCGGGGACGGGAUCAUGUUACCAGCCCCAUUAAUUUCUAAAGGUUUGGCCUCGAAUCAGGUGGGGAUACCCGCUGAACUUAA